GGAUCCAGAAUUAAAAGUGGAACAACCCAGCUAAAAAUACAUAGGAAGAUGACAAAUUACAAGGUUGAGCUUAAGGGCUGCCAAAUUGCCUUGCCUCUAGGAAAUGACGGCAACAUAAAAGACUAUAUCCUGCAGCGGCCAGUAGACUGGGAAAGCCAGAACCAUCAAUGCCUUCUGCCACAGGCCAGCCAAUCCACCGGAAUACAUGUGACAUCCAUCUUUUGGAGAAAAGUAAAGCAGAAAGACGGUAUGCUGAAACCAAAGUGAAAAAUUGUGAGCAGCAAGCAAACAGCAAGCUUGAGAUGGAAACAAGGAAAAUGGUAAUACCAAGAGUGCAAACUAUCGGGAGAACAAAACUCAGACAAGCAUCAAGGUGAAGGUGAAAGUGAAACUGCUAUGGAAGUUCAGGAG
rnacentral:lncRNA from 1 species